rnacentral:lncRNA from 1 species
GUUCUCUAAAUUUAUUUCGAAUUAAGUCUAGACCGUUUUUCCUAUAAGUUAUACCUUGCUUAAUAAUGACGAUCUAACCAAUUUAUUAAACAGUACCCAUUUAAAAUCUAGUAGUAGUAAGUAUGCUUGAAAAAGGACGGAACACAUUUUAUGACCAAUUAAAGUGAUACAUAGAUUAUUAAUUAAAAAAUAUUAAAUUAAAUAAAAAAUAAUUAUAAAAAUAAAAACGCUAAUUUUAAUGACGCUAACGAUUCCAGCUAAACCCUAAAUCUUAAAUUCUAAACCCUAUACCCUAAAUUCCAAACCCAAAUCCAAACCCCUAAAUCCAAACCCUAUAACCUAAACCCUAAUCCUAGACCCUUAACCCAAAUUAUAUACCCUAAACCCAAAAACUAGACUAUAAACCUAAACUCUAUACCCUAAACCCAAGUUCUAGACCCUAAACCCAAACCAUAAACUUUAAACCCAA